rnacentral:rRNA from 1 species
CCUACGGGGGGCUGCAGUGGGGAAUAUUGGACAAUGGGGGCAACCCUGAUCCAGCCAUGCCGCGUGUGUGAAGAAGGCCCUCGGGUUGUAAAGCACUUUCAGUGAGGAAGAACGCCUGGUGGUUAAUACCCAUCAGGAAAGACAUCACUCACAGAAGAAGCACCGGCUAACUCCGUGCCAGCAGCCGCGGUAAUACGGAGGGUGCGAGCGUUAAUCGGAAUUACUGGGCGUAAAGCGCGCGUAGGUGGCUUGAUAAGCCGGUUGUGAAAGCCCCGGGCUCAACCUGAGAACGGCAUCCGGAACUGUCAAGCUAGAGUGCAGGAGAGGAAGGUAGAAUUCCCGGUGUAGCGGUGAAAUGCGUAGAGAUCGGGAGGAAUACCAGUGGCGAAGGCGGCCUUCUGGACUGACACUGACACUGAGGUGCGAAAGCGUGGGUAGCAAACAGGAUUAGAUACCCGGGUAGUC